rnacentral:rRNA from 1 species
GUUGGGUAGGGGAGCGUUCUGUAAGCCUGCGAAGGUGGCCUGUGAGGGUUGCUGGAGGUAUCAGAAGUGCGAAUGCUGACAUAAGUAACGAUAAAGCGGGUGAAAAGCCCGCUCGCCGGAAGACCAAGGGUUCCUGUCCAACGUUAAUCGGGGCAGGGUGAGUCGACCCCUAAGGCGAGGCCGAAAGGCGUAGUCGAUGGGAAACGGGUUAAUAUUCCCGUACUUGGUGUUACUGCGAAGGGGGGACGGAGAAGGCUAUGUUGGCCGGGCGACGGUUGUCCCGGUUUAAGCGUGUAGGUGUGUGUUCCAGGUAAAUCCGGUUCACUUUAACACUGAGGCGUGAUGACGAGGCACUACGGUGCUGAAGCAACAAAUGCCCUGCUUCCAGGAAAAGCCUCUAAGCAUCAGGUAACAUCAAAUCGUACCCCAAACCGACACAGGUGGUCAGGUAGAGAAUACCAAGGCGCUUGAGAGAACUCGGGUGAAGGAACUAGGCAAAAUGGUGCCGUAACUUCGGGAGAAGGCACGCUGACACGUAGGUGAAGUGAUUUACUCAUGGAGCUGAAGUCAGUCGAAGAUACCAGCUGGCUGCAACUGUUUAUUAAAAACACAGCACUGUGCAAACACGAAAGUGGACGUAUACGGUGUGACGCCUGCCCGGUGCCGGAAGGUUAAUUGAUGGGGUCAGCGCAAGCGAAGCUCCUGAUCGAAGCCCCGGUAAACGGCGGCCGUAACUAUAACGGUCCUAAGGUAGCGAAAUUCCUUGUCGGGUAAGUUCCGACCUGCACGAAUGGCGUAAUGAUGGCCAGGCUGUCUCCACCCGAGACUCAGUGAAAUUGAACUCGCUGUGAAGAUGCAGUGUACCCGCGGCAAGACGGAAAGACCCCGUGAACCUUUACUAUAGCUUGACACUGAACAUUGAGCCUUGAUGUGUAGGAUAGGUGGGAGGCUUUGAAGCGUGGACGCCAGUCUGCGUGGAGCCGACCUUGAAAUACCACCCUUUAAUGUUUGAUGUUCUAACGUGGACCCGUAAUCCGGGUUGCGGACAGUGU